AAAAAACUUAAAAGAGGGGUGAGAAAAGACAAAACACCAGCAGACCAACCGUCUGCCACGCAUUAAAACAGUCCCUCCGGUAGAGCAAAAUCCAAAUAGAAAGAAUAACAAUAAACAGAAAAAUAAAAUAAAAAACAAUUAAUACCCCUCUUCAUCCUAAUCUCUUAUCAGCAAUUACACGAAAUGGAACCUCCCCUCUUCCUUUCAGAUGGAAGGCAUGAAAUCAUAGAAUAAAACGAGAGCAUUCCUUCUUGAUCUGAUAAAGUCGGAGUCCAAAAGUCAUCAAUCCUUCAGUCAUUCCUGUUCAAUCACCAUCGGUCCUGAUCUGCCUCUCUUUCCACUCUCUCCGGAGCUUCUUCAAUCCAGCACAUAGAGCAAGCAUGAUACUUCCCUUCCUUAGCCAAUAUAUGAGCAGUGUUGUUUGCUUUUCGAGGUAUCCCCUUCGACCAUAAUCCUUUGAAAACCCAAAUCUUCCGCAAAGAUUAGGGAUUGUAGACAAGCAGGUGCCUCCGCCACUGUGGAAUCCAUCACAUACUCAUUGAGGAAUUACCGAGUAAAGGGGCACUCACGGAACAAGUGGUCCACUGACUUCGCAGCAGAUCGACAAAGAGGGCAAGAAUUAUGAGCAGCGAUCCUUCGCGUCUGUAAAUUAAGUAGCGUAGGCAGAUAGUUAUUAGCAAUUCUCCAUAUUGUUAUCUUAAUUUUUCUCGCCAUGUUUAAGUCCUAUAGUUAAUAUAGAAAGCUUGUAUCAUAGGGGCAUGAAUAGUUGGAUCGUUACUUCGAAGAAGUUGAAUCCUCUGCCAAAAGCCAUUUGUAUCCGCUUUUAGCAGAAUAGACACCUUUGUUGUCCCCUUGCUAUACCAUCUCAUCCUGAUGGGCACUGCUAGAGAGCAGAAUUGCCAGGAUUUGCUUCAAUCUUUCAUCAAAUAGCGAUCUCAAUGUUAGAUUUGGUACUUUAAGCGUAGUAUUUUCAUCUAAAUUCACUUGUAAUAUCGAAUAGAUUGGUUGAUAAAAUUAUUCAUAAUUAUGUUAA